ACCACUCUAAAUUCUUUGUAUUCUUUUUUUUUUCUUGCCUUUAUUUUCACCAAAAUUUUUAAAGGUCAAUUCACCCCCCUCUUGGCAUUUUCGAUUUGCUUCAUCGACCUUCCAUAAAUUUUAGUAGAUUAUAAAUACUAAUUUAUAAGCUUUUAAUUUUAGAUUUUGUUGACAAAACAUUUCUCUUUAAUUUUUCUCAAAUUUAGGUUAUGUUUUAUUUUCUUUUCAUUUUUAGAUUAGGUUUAGAAAUUUUUAUUUUUUGUGUGUGUUCUUU
rnacentral:lncRNA from 1 species